rnacentral:rRNA from 1 species
UACGUAGGGGGCAAGCGUUAUCCGGAUUUACUGGGUGUAAAGGGAGCGUAGACGGCGAGACAAGUCUGAAGUGAAAUGCCAGUGCUCAACACUGGAACUGCUUUGGAAACUGCCUGGCUGGAGUGCGGGAGAGGUAAGUGGAAUUCCUAGUGUAGCGGUGAAAUGCGUAGAUAUUAGGAGGAACACCAGUGGCGAAGGCGGCUUACUGGACCGUAACUGACGUUGAGGCUCGAAGGCGUGGGGAGCAA